rnacentral:rRNA from 1 species
GACGAACGCUGGCGGCGUGCUUAACACAUGCAAGUCGAGCGGAGCGGCGGACGGGUGAGUAACACGUGAGUAACCUGCCUUAGACAUUGUGAUAGCCUAGGGAAACCGGGAUCAAUACCAAAUAGCCUACGAUGGACUCGCCGCCCAUUAGCUAGUUGGUGAGGUAACGGCCCACCAAGGCGACGAUGGGUAGCCGGGCUGCGAAGGUGAACGGCCACAGUGAGACUGAGGUACGGCCCAGGCGCCUACGGGAGGCGGCAGUGGGGGAUAUUGCACAAUGGGCGAAAGCCUGAUGCAGCGACGCCGCGUGGGGGAUGAAGGCUUUCGGGUUGUAAACCUCGUUCGCUAGCGAACGGGUAGGUGGAGAAGAAGCGCCGGCUAACUACGUGCCAGCAGCCGCGGUAAUAC